rnacentral:lncRNA from 1 species
CUAUACAUACAUAUCAUAUAUUAUAAUUAUUUUCCCUACUGUACAACGUACGCACAUGACAAGAUUAUCUACAAAGUGUGAAUUCAAAUGGGACUUCCCUCUUUGCAUGCCAGAAAAUACCUUCAACUUCUAACAUAAGAAAAUCAAAACCUUCUUCAGCUUCAGUAAGUGUAGAUAGAAUAUAUAUAAUUUCUACACAACAUUCAUCGUAUAAGCAGUGUAGUAAAUACCUGGAAUUUGAAAAUAGGGGUCGUCGGCACAUAGAGGAUUUAUAACCCGAGACAAUUUUUAGAGAAAUGUUAUAAUACCUACAUAACCCAAUGAAUUUCAAACCAUUAAAAAAAAUUAUAUAUAUUAUAUAUCCUCUUAAAAAAUAUUUGCAAAAUAUAUAAAAAAGAAAGUAAAAACAUUCUCCAACCACUGUAUAUUCCCCACCAUCAUCAGUUUGGUAUUUGAAUAAAUAGACAUGGAAUUUUCCCAAAGAAAAAACAAACAUAAAGAAAAGAAGAAAAUUUGUGAUGUUAAAUGAAUAAUAUAAAUAUUGGCAAAAAAAAAAAAGAAUAAUAUAAAUAGACAUUAACAAAAAGAAAUCUUAAUAAUUACCCGAAGAGGUGGAAGCAGCAUGGUCCUCCUCCAUUAGGGAUUCAUCAUUAGUUUGUUCUUCUUCU